GAUGAACGCUGGCGGCGUGCCUAAUACAUGCAAGUCGAGCGAACAGACGAGGAGCUUGCUCCUCUGACGUUAGCGGCGGACGGGUGAGUAACACGUGGAUAACCUACCUAUAAGACUGGGAUAACUUCGGGAAACCGGAUCUAAUACCGGAUAAUAUAUUGAACCGCAUGGUUCAAUAGUGAAAGACGGAUUUGCUGUCACUUAUAGAUGGAUCCGCGCCGCAUUAGCUAGUUGGUAAGGUAACGGCUUACCAAGGCAACGAUGCGUAGCCGACCUGAGAGGGUGAUCGGCCACACUGGAACUGAGACACGGUCCAGACUCCUACGGGAGGCAGCAGUAGGGAAUCUUCCGCAAUGGGCGAAAGCUUGACGGAGCAACGCCGCGUGAGUGAUGAAGGUCUUCGGAUCGUAAAACUCUGUUAGUAGGGAAGAACAACUGUGUAAGUAACUAUGCCCGUCUUGACGGUACCUAAUCAGAAAGCCACGGCUAACUACGUG
rnacentral:rRNA from 1 species